GACGAACGUUGGCGGCGUGCUUAAUACAUGCAAGUCAACUGAAGCAGUGGUAGCAAUAUCGCUGUGGAGGUGGCGCACGGGUGAGUAACACGUAGGUAAUCUGCCUUCAGGUCUGGCAUAACUCCGGGAAACCGGGGCUAAUAGCAGAUGAUGCAGCGGCUCGACAUCGAGACAGUUGUUAAAGCUAUGGCGCCUGAAGAUGAGCCUGCGUCUGAUUAGCUAGUUGGCGGGGUAACGGCCCACCAAGGCAACGAUCAGUAGCUGGUCUGAGAGGAUGAUCAGCCACACUGGAACGGAGACACGGUCCAGACUCCUACGGGAGGCAGAAGUAAGGAAUAUUGCUCAAUGGGAGAAAUCCUGAAGCAGCAACGCCGCGUGAGGGACGAAGGGCUUUUGCUUGUAAACCUCUGUAGUGAGAGAAAAAAAUCCCAAUCUUUGGGACAUGAUGGUAUCUCAAAAGUAAGCCCCGGCUAACUACGUG
rnacentral:rRNA from 1 species